CGGGUGAGUAACGCGUGGAUAACCUGCCUCACACUGGGGGAUAACAGUUAGAAAUGGCUGCUAAUACCGCAUAAGCGCACAGUACCGCAUGGCACGGUGUGAAAAACCCAGGUGGUGUGAGAUGGAUCCGCGUCUGAUUAGCCAGUUGGCGGGGUAACGGCCCACCAAAGCGACGAUCAGUAGCCGACCUGAGAGGGUGACCGGCCACAUUGGGACUGAGACACGGCCCAA
rnacentral:rRNA from 1 species